rnacentral:rRNA from 1 species
UGGGGAAUAUUGGACAAUGGGGGCAACCCUGAUCCAGCCAUGCCGCGUGAGUGAUGAAGGCCUUCGGGUUGUAAAGCUCUUUUGGCGGGGACGAUGAUGACGGUACCCGCAGAAUAAGCCCCGGCUAACUUCGUGCCAGCAGCCGCGGUAAGACGAAGGGGGCUAGCGUUGUUCGGAAUUACUGGGCGUAAAGCGAGUGUAGGCGGUUGCCGUAGUCAGGUGUGAAAGCCUUGAGCUCAACUCAAGAAAUGCACUUGAUACUGGGUGACUAGAGGACCGGAGAGGAUAGUGGAAUUCCCAGUGUAGUGGUGAAAUACGUAGAGAUUGGGAAGAACACCAGUGGCGAAGGCGGCUAUCUGGACGGUUACUGACGCUAAGACUCGAAAGCGUGGGGAGCAAAACAGGAUUAGAUACCCUGGUAGUCCACGCCGUAAAACGAUGGGUGCUAGACGUUGGCGAGCUUGCUCGUCAGUGUCGCAGCUAACGCGUUAAGCACCCCGCCUGGGGAGUACGGCCGCAAA